UCGGGAAUUUUGGGCAAUGGGGGAAACCCUGACCCAGCAACGCCGCGUGAAGGAUGAAGUAUUUCGGUAUGUAAACUUCGAAAGAAUUAGGAAGAAUAAAUGACGGUACUAUUUAUAAGGUCCGGCUAACUACGUGCCCAGCAGCCGCGGUAAUACGUAGGGACCAAGCGUUGUUCGGAUUUACUGGGCGUAAAGGGCGCGUAGGCGGCAUGACAAGUCACUUGUGAAAUCUCUGGGCUUAACCCNGAACGGCCAAAGUGAUACUGUCGCGCUAGAGUGCAGAAGGGGCAAUCGGAAUUCUUGGUGUAGCGGUGAAAUGCGUAGAUAUCAAGAGGAACACCUGAGGUGAAGACGGGUUGCUGGGCUGACACUGACGCUGAGGCGCGAAAGCCAGGGGA
rnacentral:rRNA from 1 species